UACGUAGGGGGCGAGCGUUGUCCGGAUUCAUUGGGCGUAAAGCGCUUUAAGGCGGUUCGCUAAGUCGGGUGUGAAACCUCCAGGCUCAACCUGGAGACGCCACUCGAUACUGGCGUGACUAGAGUUCGGUAGGGGAUCACGGAAUUCCUGGUGUAGCGGUGGAAAUGACGCAGAUAUCUAGGAGGAACACCGGUGGCGAAGGCGGUGAUCUGGGGCCGACACUGACGUGUAGAGCGAAAGCGUGGGGAGCGAACAGG
rnacentral:rRNA from 1 species